ACAAGACAGAGGAAAGAUGAAAACCCAGGCAAGCCCUCUGCUUUUGCAGAGCGAACGUGGCCGCAGGCUUUUCAGCAUUGAAUUUGAACAAGCCAAUGGCAUCCCAAUCAUUGAAACAGGAAGCCAGAUAAACAGCAUGUUAUCAAGGGGGGAUCCGGGUGCUUCCCUUAAGCCGGCGCCAGCUGCGCCCUGUGGCUGUCCUAACAAAGUCCCAUUGACUCACCAGCUGAUUUUCCAGUGUUUGGCACCGGGGGACAAGGAACCCUCUCUGCUGGGUGGAUUUCACCCCUGCACACCGCCCCCACCACUCACCCCUCACGUCCUCCCCCAAUCCUGCCUCCCCAACGCAGACUGGGCUAAUUCUUUAUCCCAUGACCAGGUUCUAUCGGCUCUAGAGAAUAGAAGGGACCACAAGAGCCCAAGCACCGAGCGCCCUCAGGUCUGAGCUGGGACUCGUGGGUGCAGAGGUGAGGGGAAGCCCCAGAAGUGCUCGGCAAAUAGAAUGAAAUUCAAGUCUUCGAGAAUCUUUACUGGAAUAGGAACAGGGACCAAAGGAGCACCAGCACUCUGAUAAUUCCAACAGAAUUAGUAUGGAAGCCCCAAGAAGUGAAGUCACUCAUUGUUAAAUUCCUGCCUCUACCCUGCACCCCUUUCUAGCAACAGAUCUGGUGCAGAGGGUAUGUGUACUCCUUGUCUCUCUACCACCCAUCACCAGCAAGCCUCCACUCUGAACACAGUGCCAAAACUGCUCCAGCAAAGGGAACUGGCUCAGGCAAUUAUGGAAGCUGACAAGUCCCAAGAUCUGCAGAGUGGGUUGGCAAGCUGGAGACCCAGGAGAGCCAAUGACUUAGUUCCAAUCUAAGUUUGAGGGAUUGAGAACCAGGAGUCUACCCACAUGGUUGAUGGUCUGGACAUCUUUAACUUUACCACAUUUAUGCCAACACCUGGAUCGUCAGAUCUUUUUUUUGGACAACCAGAUAGAUGUGAGAUUACGGAAUAUUGUGAUUUUAAUUUGCAUUUCACCAACCACUAACAAGGGACUGCAAGCUCCGUCCUCUGUUUGGUGGUUGGGGCACAAACAUUAAGGAUCAUCACAUCCUCUUGAAGAAGCGAUCCUUUUGUCUUUAUGAAAUGAAUCUAUUUAUCUCUGGUAAAUUCUUUGCUCUGAAAUAAAUUUUGUCUGGUAUUAA